UGAUCCUCCAGGUGAUUGUUUCCGCCCUGGGCGGAAGCGUGCUAUUGACAGAGUGACAAUAGAAAUGGACAGACAUUAAGGAAGUGUUAUGACAGGCAGUGUGGGAGCUGGGGGGGUAUGUGUUACUGUGAGAGAGCUCAGGGAUCACAUAGUACUCAGCCAUGAGGGAGACAGUGUCCUGCUGCUACUGAGGGAGCCAGGCUGAGAGGCUCUGCAGAGUGUGAGGAGACAGGAGAGGCUCUGCAGAGUGUGAGGAGACAGAAGAUGAGAGGCUCUGCAGAGUGUGAGGAGACAGGAGAUGAGAGGCUCUGCAGAGUGUGAGGAGACAGGAGAUGAGAGGCUCUGCAGAGUGUGAGGAGACAGAAGAUGAGAUGCUCUGCAGAGUGUGAGGAGACAG